UAGGGAAUAUUGGGCAAUGGGCGAGAGCCUGACCCAGCCAUGCCGCGUGCAGGAAGAAGGCCUUCUGGGUUGUAAACUGCUUUUGAUCGGGAACAAACCGUCCAUGCGUGGAUAUUUGAGUGUACCGAUAGAAUAAGCACCGGCUAACUCCGUGCCAGCAGCCGCGGUAAUACGGAGGGUGCAAGCGUUGUCCGGAUUUAUUGGGUUUAAAGGGUGCGUAGGCGGCCCUGUAAGUCAGUGGUGAAAUACUGCAGCUUAACUGUAGCAUUGCCAUUGAUACUGUAGGGCUUGAGUACAGAUGAGGUAGGCGGAAUUGAUGGUGUAGCGGUGAAAUGCAUAGAUACCAUCAAGAACACCGAUUGCGAAGGCAGCUUACUAAACUGUAACUGACGCUGAGGCACGAAAGCGUGGGGAUCGAACAG
rnacentral:rRNA from 1 species